AGUCGAACGUGAAAGCACUUCGGUGUGAGUAGAGUGGCGGACGGGUGAGUAACGCGUGGGAAUCUACCCAGUAGUGGGGGACAACUACCGGAAACGGUAGCUAAUACCGCAUACGCCCUAUGGGGGAAAGGCUUCGGCCGCUAUUGGAUGAGCCCGCGUCAGAUUAGCUAGUUGGUAGGGUAAAGGCCUACCAAGGCAACGAUCUGUAGCUGGUCUGAGAGGACGAACAGCCACACUGGGACUGAGACACGGCCAGACUCCUACGGGAGGCAGCAGUGGGGAAUAUUGGACAAUGGGCGAAAGCCUGAUCCAGCAAUGCCGCGUGUGUGAAGAAGGCCUGCGGGUUGUAAAGCACUUUCAGUUGGGAAGAUGAUGACGUUACCAACAGAAGAAGCACCGGCUAAAUCCGUGCCAGCAGCCGCGGUAAUACGGAUGGUGCGAGCGUUAAUCGGAAUUACUGGGCGUAAAGCGCGCGUAGGCGGCUAAGUCAGUCAGAAGUGAAAGCCCCGGGCUCAACCUGGGAAUUGCUUUUGAUACUGCUUAGCUAGAGUUUGGUAGAGGAUAGUGGAAUUCCAGGUGUAGCGGUGAAAUGCGUAGAUAUCUGGAGGAACAUCAGUGGCGAAGGCGACUGUCUGGACCAAAACUGACGCUGAGGUGCGAAAGCGUGGGUAGCAAACAGGAUUAGAUACCCUGGUAGAAGGGC
rnacentral:rRNA from 1 species